AGUGCUGGGAACAAGUUUACAGGAGCCACUGCCUGUGUCAGAAGGCAAAUGGGACCAAUCAACUUGUGAGCUGCUGAGUGACACCGUGAGUCCUGCCUCUGAAACUUUUGUUAUUUUUUUCCCUCAGCCUACUUCAAUUGUUUCCAGAACUUGGUCACAGACUCGGACAAGUUGCCAGAGAUCUACAGGCACAUCCCACAGCCCAGAGCAAGCUCCUCUGUGCUUCACUAAGUCACACCAGGGGUGGGUGACAGCACCAUGGAGGAUUAACAGGCAAGGUAUUUGAGAAAAAAAGGCUUGUAGUAGCAUCCAGGAUAAUUUUCCAGGAAAAAACACCUGCCAAACAACUAGCUAUUUUAAGCAUACAUUUUUUUCUUAAGUGGCAGAAACUAAAAACUAGGGGAAGAGCUGUGGAAUGGAAUUCAUAUGAACCUACAUGGCUUAGUACUGAAGGAGCAACCGCCUAAGCUACAAUUAAGAACCUGCUGCAGGCACAAGAGGGCAGACUGAUGCACAUUAUGGAUCUUGCCAAUAACAGAGGUCUCAACCUUCUACUCAACUUUCUGCUCAUUGUCUUGGUUCUAGUGCUCGCAUUUAUCCUUGUGAAGCUGAUGUGAACCUCUGUGAGGCUCCUCCUUGUCAGAUUUCACCCAGUGGAUUUUGCAAUGAUAAUGCAGACACUCCAGACUACCUGAAUACAAGUAUGCAAAGACUGCAGAGGCUGAAAUAUCCAACAGUUAGAGAAUGUGUUCCCCCUCCAACUGUAUCAGAAAGCAAUCCUAAGAGCAGUGCACAAGUAUCUAUCCACCUGCCACUCAGUGAAGAAAGCACCCACAGCCUUGCUGAGGACCUGAAGAAACUCAAGAAUGCAUCAGCAGCAACUGUAGUUUCUCAUUGCUACAGCUGAUUGUUAUUCAAAGAUCUACAAAUUAUUUGCAGUAUUCAAGGAACAUAAUUCCUGCAAAAUGGGGACAGCAGAAAUCAAAUUUUUAAAAUGGGAUUUCUGUAUAACAUAUACUUCAUGGGAAAUGACACUAGGAAGGCAAACCAAAAUGCCAGUUUUGAGUUGACAGCACACAUCCAAUUACCUGUGGAGAGAAAAGCACAGAUGCUGUAAAUGGAAACAAAGAUAUCCCUGAAAAGCAGCUUGCAGUACCCGAGAUGCAGAUAAAUGAAGGUCAAAUAUGAAAACAAAAUUAUUUUUUAGACCACCUGUGGUUUACUGCAACACCUUAAAAGCCAGAAGCCUUCUGUUAGCCUGCAUAUCAAAAGCAGCAGCUGUCAAAACAACUGAAAAACAAAGGGCCAUUACUCGGGGUUAUGAUAACUGUCCAGGAAACCCUCAGCACCAGCACAUACACCAGCAGAAGUGCAGCUGCACAAACCCAAGAUGCAUUACAGCCUCAGUAAGAGGAUUUACCACUUAUGCACAGGUCAAGUGAGCAGUGUGGGAGCCCUCCAGCCGUAUUUGACAGACCACUUGUUAUGUGCCAGUGCAAUCAUCAGUCCAUAGCCUGUCCUCACCUCUGCGCAUGCAGCAAAAGCUUCUUACAGGACCUUCUUUUGUGGCUCUUUACAGGAUGAUGUACUUCCCCCACAGGGUCCUGGGAAGGGGAGUGACCAACAAGAGCACACUUUUGUUGGAUUUUCCAGAAGGUAGCACUAAAAACAUGAGAAGUGCUGGGAAAGGAGAGGACCAGAAGCAGCUUUUCAUACAUCACAUUGGAGCCAAACAACUUUCUCUUAGCAUCUCACUUUCCCAAGUGAAACACAGAAACAGUGUGCACCAACAAACAUAUAUUGUACAGUAAAUUUAUUGCCAUACAUAUGCAUAUUAAUGCAUGUACAAAAGAGGCAGAUGUUAUUUCAUGGAUGGGAGAAGCCUCAGCUCGAGCUUCCUAUUGCAUACACACCCCUGAUUCAGCACAUACACUGCUGAGUAUAUUACAGAGCUAAUCUAUUAAUGUUCACAUCCAGAACUUCCAUAUAAUCACUAUUGUUACUCAGUUAUCUGCAGGAGACUCAUCUAAACUGAACCUAUGAAUAAACUUUUCACAGGAAAAGGCAGCAAACCCGAGAGCUUGAAGAAGUCCUACCAUUAAAUAGGUAUCCACAUUCCACUCCAUGCUACCUGCUCCAAAGCUUACAGAGCAUUAGUGUGCUGGUCUUGUCUGGAAUAAAGUUAAUUUUCUUCAUGGUAUAGUAGUUAGCACGGGACUAUGGUUUGGUACAAGUCCAAACUGUAGUUCCCUACCAGCUGCUAUGAAGGAAAUUACCUCUGCCCCAGCCAAACCAGCACAAUGGCCUAGAGCAUCACAGAGAGUUAAAAUGAAAGCUUUUUUCUUACCUGCUCCAAAAUAUGCACAAUAAACAUUUAAAAUAGCUUCUGCAGACUACAUACCCAUAGCAAUGCUGAUUUUAAUGCUGAUUGCUACAGUAGUAUGAAUUCCAAACUGUUUGCAUUUAAAGCAGAAAACUUCACACAGCUACAUCACCAUAAGCACUUCACAAUUUACUUUGAGAAUCUCAAAAUAUUCUACUUUAAAAAAAAUCUGUAAAUUUAUAUACCAGAAAUAUAUGUGGUAAUGGUUACAUAGUUGUGUAUUGCUUAAGAGAACUCCUGCUGAUGCUUGACAUAGAUGGCUCAAAGCACACCAAAACCACAGAAACAAACAGGAAAUCCACUCCAGCCCAAAGAAGAAUAAAAACAGUUUUCCCAACAAAAUGGUUAUUCAGUGACGUACUGCUUGGGAUUACCCAAAGCUUAUUGUCUAUAUGCAUAUUCAGAAGUUUCCCUAUAUUAGGGAAAGCACUGUGACACCAGUUGGCCCUGACAAAACAAUAAAAUCUCAUAUUACUUUUUAAUAAAUUGAGGAAGAUGAGCCUACUGCCACCAACAAGCACAUAUUUCCAGAUCAAAAAUUACACACCAAGGAAGUCUGUGAGAAACUUUGCUGUUAGAUGUGGAAAAACAAUCCCCAGAUAUAAUCCCAGUAGCCUCCUCUCAGUCAGCAUUAAACGUGACAGAAUCCUCAACAAAUGCAGAAAUACACUGCUGAAACUGAAACAUGCAUUUCCCCAAGAUGACAUAUAAAGCUGCAAAGUUAUCAGCUAACCAAUGCCAAGGCUCUUUUUGCAAUCAAGCAGAGUCCAAGUUUGGUUUCCAAUCAUCUGCUAGCACUUACUGCAGACUGAACCUACAAGCACCUUAUAAUGAAUGGAAUCCCAUUUGCUGGGCUACGAACUUCACAGCAAAAGGAACAGACCAUAAAAGCUUAGUUAUGGCUCACAGUAAAGGAGUUCACUCUGCUAGCUAAAAGCGAUAAUCCCUCACAUUAGAAAGUUUCAUAUUCCUGAAAAGCAUGGUUUCAUGAAAACGUGAUAUAGGAAAAACGUUGAUACUAAUAAUUUUAAUUUUUUGAUCUGACAGGAUUGUAAAAAAACCCUAGCUUUGAGCUGACAUUUAAGAAUAAAGUUUUAUGUGGCAACAAUGUUAUCUGA